ensembl:ncRNA asRNA:CR44160 antisense RNA:CR44160
AGGCUGGACAAGUUCUCGAUUUUCUUGAUCAGAUUCCAGCGCAGAAACAGGCGCUCGAUUCGAGUCAGCGGCUCGAAGUUCUCCAGCUUCUCGAUCCGGCGAUGAUUCAGAUCAAGCUCGUAGCAGUCCGGAUCGAUUGUGAUUAUAUCCUCAAUGGAAGCCACAUCCUCGGCGGGAAUCACCUGGAUUCCGGACACAGUUUUCGCGGCUUCUGUUGACUUUCGAAAAUUGAACGCUGACUUGACUUGUUGUUUAUUCCGCUGCUCAGGGUGGAACAAAGUGGGGUGACUUUCUUUAAAUAUGACGUCAAAGCUUGACACUGUUACAAAAGCAAGAACACACGUUAAGUCCAAGAUGACUGUAUACUCCUUUUGGUCCAACUUGUUCAAUAUGUCAACAAAAUACUUAGUCACCUUACCGGCACUUUAACACUAUUUCUACUAGAGAUGUGCACCUAAGAACACGAUGCUAAACCUGUAUUAUUAUAUAUUCCAAUGUAAAUGAAAAACAAAUAUUGAUUGAUAAUUUGCCAAAU